GAUCCCUGCAGACAGCAGGAUCUGCCAGGAGCCAGCCACCUCCAUCAGUGCUGCCAUGCAAAGGUACUGCUCCCAGAAGGAAUGACCCGGGUGCAAACUGAAAAUCCUCAGGAGCCGUUGAAGAUUGUGUUUACUCCUCCAGGAGAGUUACCAGUUCCUGAAGCUCAGGACAUGCAGUGGUGGGAAGGGGCUCCAAGGGGGCCCUGCAGCAGCAGAGCAGAGGAUGCCUUUGGAGAGGUGUCACCGAGAGUCCCAAGAGUUUUCCUUUCAGAAAGGUUUUGCCAGGAGUUCAAAAUGUUUUCUCCAAGCAUGGCCUUAUCCUACAGGUACUGGUUUUACAGGAGGGCUGGUGCUUUGAUGGCUGGGAGAGGAGAAAGAAAGGGGAAGAAGAAAAGGAAAGGGAAGAGGGAAAGGAGAAGGGAGUGAAGAACAGACCUCAGUGCCACAAAUAUUCUGACUUGAGCACCCCCAGCUCAGCUCCUGGAGGCACAGAGGAUGGCCAAACUCUGGAAUCUGCCCAAGCCCUGCCAGCUCUUCAUGUGGUGCCUGCUGAACUC